UACGUAGGUGGCAAGCGUUGUCCGGAUUUAUUGGGCUUAAAGGGCGCGUAGGCGGCCCUGUAAGUCUGUGGUGAAAUACGGCAGCUCAACUGUCGAGGUGCCAUUGAUACUGCGGGGCUUGAGUGUUGAUGAGGUAGGCGGAAUUGACGGUGUAGCGGUGAAAUGCUUAGAUAUCGUCAAGAACACCGAUAGCGAAGGCAGCUUACCAGGCAAUAACUGACGCUGAGGCACGAAAGUGCGGGGAGCAAACAGG
rnacentral:rRNA from 1 species